GGAUCGUCUUUCUUGCUCUUCAUUCCCUUCCAUUCACUUGCCCAUAAUAAAUAUACAAUCAUUAUGUGCAACACAGCUAUUAACUUUAAGGUUGUUUUCAGUUUUCACACUGAUAAAAUGUCUGUCAAAAACAUACCUGCAUGUAGUCUGAUAUUAUUUAUCUUAAUGUUUAAUAAUUAUUAAAAUUAUUAAGAAUCAUUUCUUUUUUAACUACCCAGUACUUACAAAUAAACACUUCCACAAGAAUGGAAAUAUUUUAAUGACGUCAUCGACUGAUCCCUGGUAUUUUUCUACAAAUAAUCUCUGCUCAAGGGUCUCUCUUUGUGCUCUUGCAAUGACUGCCAAGUCCAUCAUUUUUGUUUGUUUUUAAACUCUUUUUCCAAUACCUUUUCAGCAUCCCCUAUGUUUAUUUUCUCUUUUAAAAAGUAUAAUUUUUAUUAUUGAUGAUAUUGCCAACAAAGCAUUCCUUUAGAAAAAUUUUUGUUGUUUACAUUUUGAAAAGUAAUGAUAUUAAAAUAUAACAUACAUCUUACAAAACUUUCAAAAACAUCUUUACCGUUUAAAUCAGUAACACGUUUGUGGAUCAUCUUACUCUUAGGUAAUUGAGAUAACUUAAGCUGUUUAAUCAGAAUAUCGGUUAAUAAAAAACGCGUAAACAGUACCAUUUUCCCUUGUAUAACAUAAGUAAAAUUUGGAUUCAUUCUUGUUGAUAUACUUUGCUACAAGUAAACUCAAACAGUAAGACGCAUUAAUUUGAAUAAUAUUAAAUCAGAUUUUUGGACGUAUUGUAAACUUUGUGUUCUUCUUAGCAAGUUAUUAAUGACAAUUUUGAUGAAUAUAUUUUGCCAAUCAAAUAAAGUGUUAUAACCAGAAUUAGAGACUAGUAUAUAAAUAUUUAGAUAUAAAUUUUAUGUUUUACAGUAUGGAUUAUAAAGUCUUAACUGUAUGUAAACUGCCUGACACAAAAAUAUUUUGGUUUGUCCUCCAACUAUUGUAUUAGAUAUUUUUGGCGUUUAUCUAUGGGAUAUUAUUUAACGUUGCAAACGCACACUUGAGAAAAGUAGCUUUUGGUGCAUAUAAUUCCGAUUUCUUACUUUUCAUAGCUGUGUAUAGAUAUUCCUGGUAUUCAUAUUCCCUGUUCGGCAUACAAUGCAACAAAGAAUGCAACAUUUAAAAUUUUGUUGCCAAGUUCAUAUCAAAUAUAUUUGUUUCUUUGGAAUACUUGAAUUCUAUACAUUAGUCCAAUUAUAGCUUUGUUGACAGAAACUUUAUCUUACAAUAAUACAAAUACAAGGUUUUCUUUGUCUUAACCGGUCGUAAUCAGAUAUACAUUUUCACUUUUCAACGUAACUAUUACACCAUGGACAUAUUGCUCACACUGAAGUAUUGAUAGUGAUGGGAAAGUAUCAGUGGGAUAAUUGUAUAAUUUGAAACUAAGUCAUUGUAGUUAUAUAAGCCUAUACACUAUAUGUGAUUUUCAUGAUGUGGAUACUUUUGUUACAUGUUACUUUUGCGUUCAACAGAACUUAAUGUUACUUGAUUUGAAUUAAACCAUUUUUA
rnacentral:sRNA from 1 species